ensembl:miRNA mir-8207 miscRNA
UUGUCCUCUUUUCUCUCAUUUGCACAUUUUAUUGAUAUUCAAAUAUUGAUGCAUUGGAAGAAAAGAGAACGAGA